rnacentral:tRNA from 4 species
GCGCCCGUAGCUCAGCUGGAUAGAGUAUCUGGCUACGAACCAGAGGGUCGGAGGUUCAAUUCCUUCCGGGCGCACCA